rnacentral:rRNA from 1 species
AUGCCGGCUCUUACGGCGAAGCGAGCGUCCUCGGAGCGGUGCGCGAUCCGCCGCGAGCUCCACCGGCGCAGGAAGCUCGCCGCCGCGCCCAAAGGCGGAAUCAUCAGCAAGGACGCAUCGAUCCAGAGCAAGCCGUCGUCCCUGCACGCGCACGCGCGGGGCGGAGUGGCCAUGCCGUCUGCGUCGACACUGCACGCGCCAGCCCUAGUGGCCGCCUGCGCACCGACGGCGACGGGAGAGGUUACCAAGAGAAGGUGCACCACCCCGCCGCGCCGACCCGCGCCGGCUCCAUCUCGAGCUGCCACAAGGGAGACGUCGACCCAAGACACGACACCAAGGGCAGAGCACGUCAAGAAGAAGAUGCCAUCUUCGUCGAUCCGGGUGAAAAAGGGCAUGACGGUGAAGGUGCGCACGCGCGCCGGGAUCCUGCCGACGGGGCACUGCCUCCUGCUCUGGCUCGCCGCCCGCGUCGUCUCCGACGCAGCAGAUGACGACGGCUACAUCGAAGUGAUCUACAACGGCAACUUCCCCUGCGACGACCCAUUCCGAACCGUACGCGUCGCCAUGGACGACGUCAGGAGCAUGCCCGCCAUCGUCGAGAGUUCCUAG